rnacentral:lncRNA from 1 species
UGCAAUUAGCGCUUUAAGGUCCUGGGUUCGAUUCCUGGGGAGACCCCCGAAUUAGUCGGGAGCGCGAGAUUAUGGCUAGCUGCUGAGAUGUGGAGUUGAGGUCACAGUUGAUGGACCAGAUUCGCACGCUGGAUUGGUGGCGAUUGCCGAACCCUCCGUCUCUUCGGGUGUUCGGGUGAAUGGAUGAGGUGGGGUCCCUGAAGGCUGGAUCCGCCGCCUUGGACUUACAGUUCGUAUGGCGAAGUACAGUGUGGUAGUGGUGGAUGGUGCUAUAAGGUGAUAAAUGAUCUAGAACUGACAAUGUGAUAAAGUGGCCCAGAAGCCUCCCACUCUGUAACAUUACAUUACAUUACACCAGUGAAUGGUAGCCACAGUAAUAGGACCCAACGGGGGUCCGGCACUCUGCUGGUCUUAACAGAGUCAGGGCCUCUGUCAAGCUCCGUUAGACUUAGGAAACACAGUCGGCUAGGCACCACUGUCACCUGUGCAUGGUGAAGGAAUGCCGGAAGAAGCCGGAACAACCGGUGCAAGCCAGCGCAGGAGUAAGAGGGCAGGGAAUGUGAGGAUAUAUUGUGGCCUUCGGAGCGGUAGUGUUGAAGGGCGGUCCUAUCCCAACGUAGAUAGCUGUUAGUUAGGCGAUAAUAGGCGAUGCCUCGAACGUGCCUCGACCUUGCCUCGGCCGUGCCUAGACUUUGCCUCGGCCAUGCCUCGACUUGCCUCGGCCGUACCUCGACCUUGCCUCGGGUCUCUCGGCCGCGUAUCUCGGACGUGUCCUCGUGCCCAGCAUUGAUGGUGGGCGACUGUACGAUACUUCCAUUGGUACUGGUAUGUAUGUUGUUACAGGGUGGUUAACUUCGCCAGCGGCCCCCUUUCCCGGGGCAGUCCCUGCUCUCCCCUGCUAGAGGGGCACCCUAAUCCGUCACCCCAUCCGACUUCAGAAUGUAUUCGUUGGGUUCGGCAACUCACCACCAGCAUCCAACCAAAUCUAGCGGAUCAACGGCGCAUCAACUUAGUUCCUGGUCAGCUCGCAAGUUGAUAUUAUCACGUCCUACACCGUCCAUAAGAUGGGGGGCCACCUCCCAUUUCAUCACUCCUCAAACACCCGAGGAGCCGGCAGGCGGAUUUGAACCCGGGUCGACUGGGUCAACUGGGAGCAGAAGUCAGGCCUUAACCUCUGCCAGCCGCCUGCCUUCUGGUAUAUAUGACACAAGUUAUGCAAGUCUUGGUAUCUCCUUGCCUCCUUCAUAUUCUUAACAGGUUAUGAGCCCCGCCUCCAGGUACUCAUUUAUUGCCGUGUCGUUGGGUGUAUAAGGUUAAGUACAACGAUGACGGCAGCGUGGAGCGUUUUAAGGCGCGAUUGGUUGCGAAGGGUUUCGAGCAACACGAGGGGAUUGAUUAUGGGGAGUGUUUGCCCCUACCUCUCGUGGUUNNNNNNNNNNNNNNNNNNNNNNNNNNNNNNNNNNNNNNNNNNNNNNNNNNGGCGCUAGCGGAAAACUCGUACAUUCCGCGAUCUAACUGCACGUACAUUCCGCGAUCUCACUGCGCCGUCCAGACGGUGCCCUAAUGUCUAUCACUUAGCUACCGGAUAUGCAUCGGUAGCCCCAUAAGGUUCUGGGGUAAGUCUUCCCCAUUAGUCAGGCGCAGACCCGGGGUCAAAUCCCCUGGUCGACAACCACACGAGUUGGGAGAGGGCCGUUUCCUCAACAGAAACACAUCGACGUGCAGCACCACAUAGUGCGUGAGUGGGUGAAUAGCGGGGAGGUGCAGUUUGAGUACUGCCCUACAGAGUUGAUGGUAGUGGAUGCGCUCACGAAGGCACUGGGAGAAGUGAAGUUCAAACGGUGCAGAGAAGCUAUGGGUGUUGUGUGCAGUCCCCAUUGGUCGAGCAAAUGUGCUACUGCGAGUUGGGAUAUGUCCCGAGGGGGCGUGUUGAAGGGCGGUCCUAUCCCAACAUAGAUAGGUGGUAGUUAGGCGAUGAAUCCGUGAUAGGCGAUGCCUCGGACGUGCCUCGACCUUGCCUCGGCCGUGCCUCGACCUUGCCUCGGCCGUGCCUCGACCUUGCCUCGGGUCUCUCGGCCGCGUAUCUCUGACGUGUCCUCUGGUCCAGGGAUGGUGGACGACUGUACGAUACUUCCGUUGGUAUCGGUACAUAAGGCGAGAGUUAAGCAAGUCUUUCUUUCUCAUGUUAGGGGAUAAAUCGGUAUUCCUUAACAGGAAUCUCCUAAAGUCUUCUUGCCGUUCACCAUUAACCCACAGACUGUAACCCUUAUAUCGCGACCAGUCUCCUUGCCUUCAUAUUCUUAACACGCCGUCGACCAUCUUAAAACGGCUGAAUUCUUGACGUAGAGCCACCUUGCGGGCGUUGUUGUUGGCAGCAAACAUAGAGCCCAAGGCGUCCCAGGCCUUCUUCGCGUUGGCAGCACCGGUGACCAUCGGCAAGUGGUGAUUCUUCACGUUCUUGUUAAGCAGAUUGAUGACCUUCCGUGAUUGACGAAUCUGCUCCUCGUUGCACGGCUCGGCGAGCAAGGACUGCUCAAGCCCAAGCUCCAUGCACAUCGUGCUAAACCGGAUUUGCCACGUGGAGUAGUUGUGGAGGUCCAGCGGGUCAUCAAGCGUAUCCUUGACCAUUGUCGGUAAGGGAUAGAAAUAACAAUCGGACGAUAGCUGUCGGCGCUAGACGGGGCUUAUAACCUAUUGGAGAAUUGGCGACGGUGACGGCUAACGCUGAUUGUUAUCUCGGAAGGAAUGCCGGCGGCGAAGAUAUUUAAGCAGCCUCUCGCACAAAUGUGUCCGGUCGUACUUCGCGAAUAAAGAGUUCGUACAUGUCGCCCCAAAAGCCAGGAGCGAUUUUCACCGCGCGGGUGCACGCGUUCGAUUCACAAAUUGCGCGUGUGCAAGUGUAUAAAAUUCUCUCGGCGAAAGGCCGCUCAUCAGGGCAUGUUGGCCGCAGUCACAAGCGGCAUGCAUCUCGGACUUUUGGCUGGCUGCUUAGCCUGAGCUGAAAAAGAUAUGAAAGCAAACAACGUAGCUUGCAAGACUGGGCGCUUGAAACGGCCGCGGAAGAGGAAGCGUUUGGCGAAGCGGCAGUUUGCGCAAGCAAACGAGUUGCGCCAGCGUGUUGCGCAGGUGGGCACGAUGGGCAUAGUCGCACGCGGCAUGCAGCCUAGUCUAUUGCGUGGCUGCUUUGCAGUAACUGAAAGCACCGAAAGCCUACGUCGUAGCUUGCAACACUGGGCUCGUGAAACUGCCGCGGGAAGAGGAAGCGUCUGGCGAAGAGGCAGUCGUGUGCAAGCCAAAAGGCGCCUGCUUUCUGCAGCGCAGCGCAUACAGCACCUUGUUCCGACUCAAGUCAAAUUACAAAGUUGCGCAAAGUAUAACAUACAUAAACUUAAUUAAACAUAAGAACAGAUAAGAUGUUUAGAGCCUUGUCGGUGACAUGGACGCCGCUGUUGGCUUGGAACAGCUAUUUGCUGUGCAUAGGGACGUGCCCGCGUUAGCUGUGUUGCAACAGCUCAGGAUGGAUUUCAGCCAACAAAGCCUCAAGAGCUGCUGCACAACCACCGGUGUGUCUUCAGCUGGACACGUGUAGUUUUGGUCGGCGGGGUCGAGCAUCGUAUGCAUUGCGCACAGAAACCAAGGUGCAGCAUCUCUGUAACAUCGCCAACAUAUCCGGUACGCGGUGGCAGGCUUGCCGAGCACGAAAUGACGGAAGGUCUCAUCUCACCAUUCAACUAAGCAUGCAUGUGCUCGGUUGAAUGCUCGGUAGCAUGCGAGUUUACCUAUCAGGAUGUUUGUUUGCAUAUAUCCCUCCAAGCGAAAGGGCUUGGACCUAUGCUGAUGUUCGUUACAAGAAGUGAACUGAGGACUAAUGCUACACGUCAUGUAUACGCGUUGCUUAGCUUGCAACGAGGCGCGCCCACGAUGAAAGCUUCAGCUACGCUCACAAUACAUUAUACUGCUACACUAUUCUCUCCAGUCCUACCACAUUAUAUUUCACCGACGUACUUUGCCACCUUCCACAUCACCAUACGUGCUUUGGAAACGCGGGCAGCUGCUUCACAAGGGCCCCCAUAUUUAGCACGAUAAAAUGUUAUAAGUUAUGUAAAGAGUAUUAUUAGCGUUCGGCAGGACUUGAGGAGAUUCCUUUGAGGAAUACCGAUCGUUGUGAGAUAAACAAAUAAGCGCAGUCACCGCCCUAAAUACCGGCGCUAGCGGAAAACUCGUACAUUCCACGAUCUACCUGCACGUACAUUCCGCGAUCUCACUGCGCCGUCCUGACGGUGCCCUAAUGUCUAUCACUUAGCUACCGGAUAUGCAUCGGUAGCCCCAUAAAGUUCUGGGGUAAGACUUCCCCUAUAGUUAGUCACAGACCCGGGGUCAAAACCCCUAGUCAACAACCACACGAGUUGGGAGAGGACCGUUCCCUCAACAAAAUUCACACCCUGAUGUGGAAAUGCUGGGGGUUCGGUAUUCAGUCAAGGAACACAAACGUCCUGGCGAGUGGUGACGAAAUGAAUGCGGUCGUACUCUCACAGGCCGAGUCAAUGCUGCAAUAUAUCUGCUUGGACAAACUUGUAUGCCGAAGCAGUCCCAGGUCCACAUGCAGACGACUGGCGGCAGUGAGUGCCGCGAACAUUCUGAAUCCGGUAGACCCCGCUGGACACCGUGGAUUGCAGCAGGCGAUCAUUUGCUGCAACUACAAACAGACGGGCCGUAUAGCUUGGAGUUGCAAAGAGAGCCGCAGCCUAACGUGCAGGGAAGGAGUGGAGGUGGUCUUGGCGACCACACGUGGCAGGUGGGGUAGCAUGCCUCAACAGACAGGCGGUGGCAGCAGUGCAGUGAUGCCGUGUAUUUUUGCUGCAAGAUAAGAACCACUAUUAAGGUUAAGGGGAAUUGUGUGACUCCGAAGCGGCUAGUAUUGGUGUACCUGAGUCUGUUGGAACUGACCGACACUCAUAUACCAGUGAAUGAUAGCCACACUCAUAUACCAGUGAAUGGUAGUCACAGUGAAUGGUAGCCACAGUAAUAGGACCCAGUAUGAUACCAGUGAAUGGUAGCCACAGUAAUAGGACCCAACGGGGGUCCGGCACUCUGCUGGUCUUAACAGAGUCAGGGCCUCUGUCAAGCUCCGUUAGACUUAGGAAACACAGUCGGCUAGGCACCACUGUCACCUGUGCAUGGUGAAGGAAUGCCGGAAGAAGCCGGAACAACCGGUGCAAGCCAGCGCAGGAGUAAGAGGGCAGGGAAUGUGAGGAUAUAUUGUGGCCUUCGGAGCGGUAGUGUUGAAGGGCGGUCCUAUCCCAACGUAGAUAGCUGUUAGUUAGGCGAUGAUAGGCGAUGCCUCGAACGUGCCUCGACCUUGCCUCGGCCGUGCCUAGACCUUGCCUCGGCCAUGCCUCGACUUGCCUCGGCCGUACCUCGACCUUGCCUCGGGUCUCUCGGCCGCGUAUCUCGGAUGUGUCCUCGUGCCCAGCAUUGAUGGUGGGCGACUGUACGAUACUUCCAUUGGUACUGGUAUAUAUGACACAAGUUAUGCAAGUCUUGGUAUCUCCUUGCCUCCUUCAUAUUCUUAACAGGUUAUGAGCCCCGCCUCCAGGUACUCAUUUAUUGCCGUGUCGUUGGGUGUAUAAGGUUAAGUACAACGAUGACGGCAGCGUGGAGCGUUUUAAGGCGCGAUUGGUUGCGAAGGGUUUCGAGCAACACGAGGGGAUUGAUUAUGGGGAGUUGUUUGCCCCUACCUCUCGUGGUUCGUCAUUACGUGCUUUAUUAGCAGUUGCCGCGAAAAUUCUGUAUCUGGUUGACCCAACUGGACAGCGUGGAUUGCAGCAGGCGAUCAUUUGCUACAACUACCAGCAGACGGGCCGUAUAGCUCGGAGUUGCAGAGAGCCGCAGCCUUACGUGCAGAGAAUGAGUGGAGGUGGUCUUGGCGACCACACGUGGCAGGUGGGGUAGCAUGCCUCAACAGACAGGCGGUAACGGCAGUGCAGUGAUGCCGUGUAUUUUUUUGCUGCAAGAUAAGAACCACUAUGAAUUGUCUGACUCCGAAUCGGCUAGUAUUGGUGUACCUGAGUCAGGGCCUCUGCCAAGCUCCGUUAGACUUAGGAAACACAGUCGGCUGGGCACCACUGUCACCUGUGGAUGGUGAAGGAAUGCCGGAUGAAGCCGAAGCAUCUAGUGGUGCAAGCCAGCACAGGAGUUCAGAAGAAUAGGGCAGGGAAUAUGAGGAGAUAUUAUAGCCCUCGGGGUGGUGAUAUGGUGUUGCAGGAAGGAGGAUAGUAGGUUGCAUUAACGUGGCUGUCACUGAUCCGUACGUACCCUGCUGAACUUUUGCUAAGUAAUACUUUCACUGAAGCCAUUUCAGGAGCAGGGGCAAAUGAGUGGCGCAUAGUGAUGGUCAACUGCACUUGUGUGCUGUGUGUACAACCUUAUGCUGUGCAUGUGCCACCUAUGGUGGUUGUACAAGUUGAAAAGAGUGGAAGGUGACACGGUCAAGCGCUUUUUUGCAUGGCUAGGUGCAAAGAUGUACGAGAAGUACGAGAACUUGGAGAAGCGCAGGUGUUUUCGGGCAUGGAAAUACUGAGGAUGAAUUAGUGUUGUCGCAAUAUUGAGCAGCUAUUGGAGCGUCACCAGGCGGUGGACGCCAAGCCACGGUCUACCCCUUUGCCUCCAGGUUUUAGUUGCACACCUACGGGGGAUAGAGAUGAGCUGCUGGGUAUUCCCAUGGUGCAUAGGGCUUUGGUGGGAAAGUUGGACUACCUAGCGACUAACACUCGGCCUGACAUUCCUUAUGCAUGGAGUGUUUUGUCCCGGCUUAUGGCCACACCUAAGAAGAGUGCCAUGAACUUGGCAACUGGUGUUCUACGUUACCUGGCGGGUACUCGCGAACUAGGAUUGCGUUUUGGGGGUGUUGGCGGUGUUGCAAUGUCUGGGUACAGUGAUUCGGACUGGGCAGGAGACCCAGUUACGCAGCGUUCUACGUCCGGUUACGUAUUCACUCUUAAUGGAGCUGCGAUUAGCUGGAGCAGCCAACUUCAACGUACUGUGGCGGCUUCGUCGGUGGAGGCCGAGUACCAAGGUCCAGGUCCUCUCCCAACUCGUGUGGUUGUCGACCAGGGGAUUUGACCCCGGGUCUGCGCCUAACUAACGGGGAAGACUUAACCCAGAACCUUAAGUUAGGCGAUGAUAGGCAAUGCCUCGAACGUGUCUCGACCUUGCCUCGGCCGUGCCUAGACCUUGCCUCGGCCAUACCUCGACUUGCCUCGGCCGUACCUCGACCUUGCCUCGAGUCUCUCGGCCGCGUAUCUCGGACGUGACCUCGGGUCCAGGGAUGGAUCUGUACGAUACUUCCAUUGUUACUGGUCUGGUCUGUACGAUACUUCCAUUGUUACUGGUCUGGUCUGGGUUGACACUACUGCAAUUAGCGGUUUAAGGUCCUAGGUUCGAUUCCUGGGGAUACCCCCGAAUUAGUCGGGAGCGCGAGAUUAUGGCUAGCUGCUGAGAUGUGGAGUUGAGGUCACAGUUGAUGGACCAGAUUCGCACGCUGGAUUGGUGGCGAUUGCCGAACCCUCCGUCUCUUCGGGUGUUCGGGUGAAUGGAUGAGGUGGGGCCCCUGAAGGCUGGAUCCGCCGCCUUGGACUUACAUACAGUUCGUAUGGCGAAGUACAGUGUGGUAGUGGUGGAUGGUGCUAUAAGGUGAUAAAUGAUCUAGAACUGACAAUGUGAUAAAGCGGCCCAGAAGCCUCCCACUCUGUAAC